GAUGAACGCUGGCGGCGUGCCUAAUACAUGCAAGUCGAGCGAACGGACGAGAAGCUUGCUUCUCUGAUGUUAGCGGCGGACGGGUGAGUAACACGUGGAUAACCUACCUAUAAGACUGGGACAACUUCGGGAAACCGGAGCUAAUACCGGAUAAUAUUUUGAACCGCAUGGUUCAAAAGUGAAAGACGGUCUUGCUGUCACUUAUAGAUGGAUCCGGUCUGCAUUAGCUAGUUGGUAAGGUAACGGCUUACCAAGGCAACGAUGCAUAGCCGACCUGAGGGGGUGAUCGGCCACACGGGAACUGAGACACGGUCCAGACUCCUAGGGGAGGAAGCAGAAGGGAAUCUUCCGCAAUGGGCGAAAGCCUGACGGGGCAACGCCGCGUGGGUGAUGAAGGUCUUCGGAUCGUAAAACUCUGUUAUUAGGGAAGAACAUAUGUGUAAGUAACUGUGCACAUCUUGACGGUACCUAAUCAGAAAGCCACGGCUAACUACGUG
rnacentral:rRNA from 1 species